rnacentral:lncRNA from 1 species
ACCAUAGGUUCUCCAUCAUGCCCAGCUAAUGUUUUUUUUUAUUUUCAGUAGAGAUGAAGUCUCACUAAGUUGCCCAAGUUGGUCUUAAACCCUGGGGCUCAAGCUAUCCUCCUGCCUCGGCCUCCUAAAGUGCUGAGAUUAUAUGUGUGAACCACCAUGCCCAGCUGCCAGGGAAACUUUAAUCACCACAAACUCAGUAUAAAGUAACUAGGUGAGAUACUGCUGUUUUAAAUAUGAUUGUCGUCUUAGGUUGCAUUGUAGAAUAAUGUGAUGGCUUUAUUCUAUUCUAUGGUGGCCAGGCCUCUGCAUUCAUUUCAAGCAACACUUGGCCAGGCUUGAUGAUGUAUGCCUAUAAUCCCAGCACUGUGGGAUGCCGAGGUAGCGGGAUCACUUGAGCCCAGGAGUUUGAGACUAGCCUGGGCAACAUAGCAAUGCCCCAUCUCAAUUGAAAAAAAAAUAAUAAAACAAACAACAUCAUUUUUAAGAUCCUUAUUAAAAUAUAAACUACAUACCGUAAAUUCACCUGUAUUAAGUGUUCAAUUCAAUGGUUUUUAACAUAUUUACAGAUGUAUGCUACUAUAGCUAUAAUCUAAUUUUAGAAGAUUUUCAUUGCCCCUAAAAGAAAUCUAGCACCCAUUAGUGGUCACUCCCCAUUUUUUGCAUCCUCCGCCCCACAUAACCAAAAAUUUUUCCUUUUUUUUUUUUGAGACAGGGUUUCACUCUGUCACUCAGGACAGAGUGCAGUGGGCAUGAUCAUGGCUCACUGCAGCCUUGAUCUCUUGGGCUCAAAUGAUCCUCUUCCCUCAGCCUCCCUAACUACUGGGAUUACAGGAGUGAGUCAUCUUGCCUGGCCAUAAGCACUAAUCUCUAUGUCUCUACAGAUUCACCUAUUCUAGAAAUUUUGUGUAAGUGAAAUCAUACAAUAUGUAGUCUUUUGUAUCUGGCUUCUUUAUCAUAAUGUUUUUGAGGUUUAUCCAUGUUGCGUGAAUCAGUACUUAUUUUAUUUUAUUUUAUUUU